GCCCUUGUAGUAUAAACAUUACACUGGUCUUGUAAGCCUGAAAUGAAGUCACUACUUCCAAGGACA
rnacentral:tRNA from 1 species